CAAUAACAGGACAAUGUGAGAGAAGGCAAAUGUCGCAUAUAAUUUCUUAGGGAAAACCGGAGUGAAGGUUUCGAACAUAUGUCUUGGAGCCAUGACAUUUGGCAGCAGAAUACCUGAAGGACCUUUAGCAUGGAUUUUCCGCAAUCCAAGACAAACUAACGAGGCCGAUUCACACAAGAUUCUGGAUCGCUAUGUUGAGCUUGGUGGAAACUUUUUGGAUACUGCAGAUAUUUAUGCUGCCGGUGAAUCUGAAGAAAUCAUUGGCUAAUGGUUGAAGAAAAACGUGACGAUAUUAUUAUAGCGAGCAAAGUUGGAUUAUUCCCGGCAGGCGAUGUUUUUUGUCUGAGUCGACGACAUAUAAUAAAAUGUUGUGAUGAGAGUCUUAAAAGGCUGCAGAUAGAAUAUAUAGAUCUCUAUCAGGUUGGUUUCAAGCUUGUUUAUUAUUAACAGAUGUGAAAAUGACUUAGAAAAUUACAGGUUCACUGCAGAUAUAAAUUCAUUUAGCCGUUUAAAUGCUAAACAAAUCUAUAAAAUGUAAAUGCAGAUUGAUAUGCAUAAACAUGCGGGAUAAACUGUUAUUCAUCAAUUCAAACUCAACAGUCAUCACUUAUGAUAUAAAGUGUCUUUAGAUAAAAAUUAAAGCAAUAACUUCAACAUAUCAGUACAUACACUUGCUCUCCUUAUCAGCUACCUUCAUAUGAAGCUUAACAAUAUUAGCAAAAUAACAUUCUGUAAAUAGAUUUAUUGCAAAUACAAUAGCUACGGCAAAAGUUACAGAAAACAGAGUUAGAGCUCUUGUGUCCUUUACUUUUACCCAUCACUAUUACCGGUUGCCGUGUCUUUAAAUUCCCUUUAACAGUUGCUAAUCUAUUGUAAAAUACUUUACUUGCUGAAAGGAAAAUUAUCCAAAAAAUAUUUACAAUACAUAUAUAUUAUCGCUUACUCACGUUAUGAGUAUGUAAAUGCUCUUCAGUUGUUUUGCAAAGUUAUUGUCGGGACAAACUUUAGAAGCUUUUAGUAAAAAUUUUUUACUAAAAAAGUAAUCAUUUUUAUAAAUUAUAUAGAGUUUCAGUGCUUCCGCUCUGCACUUUCUCUCAUUACCAUUUAUCACUUUUUAAAGUUUCUAAACAUCUCCUUUUAGUACAUUGUAGCUGCGAAAUGGUCGGGCAAAAUUAAAUAAAAAAGAAAUUAUUCAAGAGACAUUUAUGCUCUCCACUUCUGCGUUGUACAUGUACUACCUUAUGUUGAUAUUUUGGUAUAAGGCACACAUCUGGGACAAUGCUACGCCGAUAGAAGAGACUCUUCGUACCUUUGAUGAUCUCAUAAUGAGUGGGAAAAUACGUUACUACGGUUUCUCCAAUGUCAGUGGGUGGCAAAUGCAGAAAAUAGCUGAUACAGCAAAACAACUUAACCUGAACCCAUGUGUCAGUUUACAGGUAUGAUAGCCCGUUAUUUUUGUUAUACAACAAACACUUACUAUUUCGAUACUAAUUUGAUUUAGACAACGUUAUAUGAUAUGUUUGUUUACAUGUUGAUUUGUCAAAACGAAUUAACUCUUAGCGAGAAAAAGAGAGAGAAAAAAAUCAUGAAAGAAAAAAUUAGCAGCAUAUAAAACUUGUAUAUUACUCUACGAAACACUUGUCAAUUUAUUGAUAUAUACAUUUCCAGGAAAGAAGUGCAUAAACAGACUACACUUUCGGUCAGUCCAACACCUUUAAAAAGCACUAUUUUCAAACAACUGUUAGAUAUCUUUGUUUUGAUGCUUUUGAAAUAAUGCCCCAGUGCUGAAAUUUCACAUAAUUACGUGGAACGUAGUUUUCAGCAUUUAAAAAAAAAAUAUUUCUUUACAAUUGGCAUU
rnacentral:lncRNA from 1 species